rnacentral:rRNA from 1 species
UACGUAGGUGGCAAGCGUUGUCCGGAAUUAUUGGGCGUAAAGCGCGCGCAGGCGGUCUUUUAAGUCUGAUGUGAAAGCCCACGGCUCAACCGUGGAGGGUCAUUGGAAACUGGGGGACUUGAGUGCAGGAGAGAAGAGUGGAAUUCCACGUGUAGCGGUGAAAUGCGUAGAUAUCUGGAGGAACACCGGUGGCGAAGGCGGCGUCCUGGACCAACACUGACACUGAUGAGCGAAAGCCAGGGGAGCAAACGGG